GGAGCCGUAGCGAAAGCGAGUUUUAACUGAGCGUUCAGUUACUUGACGUAGACCCGAAACCGGGCGACCUACCCAUGAGCAGGAUGAAGCGAAAGUAAAAUUUCGUGGAGGUCCGAACCCCCGAGCGUUGAAAAGCUCGGGGAUGACUUGUGGGUAGCGGUGAAAUUCCAAUCGAACCCGGAGCUCGCUGGUUCUCCCCGAAAUCGCUUUAAGGCGAGCCUCAAGGUGAGAGAUACAGAGGUUGAACACUGACUGGCCUAGGGGGGAUUGCACCUACCGAA
rnacentral:rRNA from 1 species